CACGAUUGAAGCUUGUGUAAAACAUAUAAAAGCGAUCUCAAAUCAUACUCUGAUAUCAGUUGAUCGUGCAAAUUCGUUCGUAUCAAUAUUUAUCGAAAAGUGUUUAGGAAAAAUGGUGAAGAUCUUGUUUGCGAUUUUCGUGAUUAUUGCCAUGGUGUUAUCGGCAAUGGCCAUUCCAACGCCAGAGGCAGGCAAAGGGGGAUAUGGAAAUAAUGGAUACGGUGGAGGUUAUGGUAAUAAUGGAUAUGGUGGAUACAAUAAUCACGGCUACCAUCAUGGAGGUGGACACAACAAUGGUUACUAUGGUGGAUAUAAUAAUCAUGGUUACAACAAUGGCUACAAUAAUGGCUACAACAACCAUGGCUAUCAUGGUAACAAUUAUGGCUACCAUGACCAUUACUAAAUGAGAUGCCUCUUCAGAACUUAAAUGAAGAUUUUUUAUUCGUCUUAUGCAAUUUUAUUUAUUCAAUAAAAAUCUAUUUAUUCGACGAAAACAAUUUCAAAUACACUUCUUUAUGCUGACGAUUGAAAUUAUUAAAUGGGAAUGUAAAGAAGGGGAAAAAAAUAAAUAAAUGAAUAAAUGGCUUGUCAGCCAAUCGAGAAAGUUAAUAAAAUGUGUGUUUCAAUGAAUGUACGUGUGAUGAGGAGAGAAGGGUCUUUUAUUAAGUCGAACGAAUGGAAAGGCUAUUUAUGAAACUAAUUGCAAUUCAUUAGAAGCUGUCAAAAUCAAUCAAACUGGGUUAUCAAGUUGCUAGAUUGUGUAUUUCGCGAUCACUCAAAGGCGAUCACUUGCGUCGUACAGAAGACAAAGUGAUUGUUGUUUUGUCAAUGUUAUUUAAUCGUUCAAUUGGUUUGAAAUUUUUGCAAAUAUAAAAUGAGUGCAAGCAAGUAUUUGUUUUUGUGUUGUUUUCUGGUAUUAACUGUAUGGGCAACAGUGAAUGCAGAGGAUAUACGCAUCGAUUGGGUUGGUGAACCGAAUCAUUCACAACCACAAGAUCCGGCUCCAAAACAUCAAGAAAACAAAUUGAAAGCAACAAAUGAAUACAAAUUACAACUGGCGAAUGAACACGGGCCAUCUUAUCAAAAUGAAAUUCCAGACAGUGAUAGCAAUGACGAUGAUUUACAACAACGACAACAGCCCGAACCAAUUUCACCCAUUUUUGGAAGAGGAACAUAUCUUGAAUUUGUUGAACAACGAACAUUGAAACCAUAACUUUUAAUUAUUAUUUUUAAAAUUUUGUGAAUGGAUUUCCAGAAAGCGAAAUAAAUGACGUGCUGUUUAGUAGAAAAU